rnacentral:rRNA from 1 species
GGCCAGCGUUAGCAUGCAGUCGAACGGUGACACCGAGCUGGCUCUGGGGGACAGUGGCGAACGGGUGAGUAACACGUGUGCCCCUGCCCCUGACUCUGGGAUAAGCGCUGGAAACGGCCUCUAAUAGUGGAUAUGUGACGUGACCGCAUGGUCUGCGUUUGGAAAGAUUUUUCGGUUGGGGAUGGGCUCGCGGCCUAUCAUCUUGUUGGUGAGGUAAUGGCUCACCAAGGACUCGACGGGUAGCCGGCCUGAGAGGGUGACCGGCCACACUGGGACUGAGACACGGCCCAGACUCCUACGGGAGGCAGCAGUGGGGAAUAUUGCACAAUGGGCGAAAGCCUGAUGCAGCAACGCCGCGUGAGGGAUGACGGCCUUCGGGUUGUAAACCUCUUUUAGCAGGGAAGAAGCGAAAGUGACGGUACCUGCAAAAAAAGCGCCGGCUAACUACGUGCCAGCAGCCGCGGUAAUACGUAGGGCGCAAGCGUUAUCCGGAAUUAUUGGGCGUAAAGAGCUCGUACGCGGUUUGUCGCGUCUGCUGUGAAAUCCCGAGGCUCAACCUCGGGCGUGCUGUGUGUACGGGCAGACUAGAGUGCGGUAGGAGAGAUUGGAAUUCCUGGUGUAGCGGUAGAAUGCACAUAUAUCGAGAAGAACACCUAUCGCAAGCGCAUAUCUCUGCGGCCAUAACUGACUCUGAGAGCGAAAGUGUGGAGAGCACACAAGCUUAUAUACUCUGGUACUCUACCCCAUAAACGUUGAGAACUAUGUGUGGGGUCUAUUACACGGACUUCUGUCGACGCAUCUAACGCAAUAUGUUCCCCCCCUGGAGGAGUACGGCCGCGACGAUACUCUCAGAAGUAGUGACGGGGACCGCACAUGCGGCAGCAGCAUGCAUAUUACUCUGAUGCACGUCGAGCAUCAUCACACGUCUUGAUCAUAUACGACACCGCCCAGAAGUGCGACACUUCUGUGCACUCGUAUAACAGUGCUUGAUGUCGUCGUCCGCUCGUGUCGUGAGAUGUUGGAUAAGUGCGACACCAGCGAAAGCGCUCCUUCUAUUUUA